CCUACGGGGGGCAGCAGUGGGGAAUAUUGGACAAUGGGGGCAACCCUGAUCCAGCCAUGCCGCGUGUGUGAAGAAGGCCCUCGGGUUGUAAAGCACUUUCAGUGAGGAAGAACGCCUGGUGGUUAAUACCCAUCAGGAAAGACAUCACUCACAGAAGAAGCACCGGCUAACUCCGUGCCAGCAGCCGCAGUAAUACGGAGGGUGCGAGCGUUAAUCGGAAUUACUGGGCGUAAAGCGCGCGUAGGUGGCUUGAUAAGCCGGUUGUGAAAGCCCCGGGCUCAACCUGGGAACGGCAUCCGGAACUGUCAAGCUAGAGUGCAGGAGAGGAAGGUAGAAUUCCCGGUGUAGCGGUGAAAUGCGUAGAGAUCGGGAGGAAUACCAGUGGCGAAGGCGGCCUUCUGGACUGACACUGACACUGAGGUGCGAAAGCGUGGGUAGCAAACAGGAUUAGAUACCCUUGUAGUC
rnacentral:rRNA from 1 species